rnacentral:lncRNA from 1 species
AAUAGGAAUAGGAAGAGGAAGAGGAAGAGGAAGAGGAAGAGGAAGAGGAAGAGGAAGAGGAAGAGGAAGAGGAAGAAAGAAGAAAAGGAGGAGAAGGAGGAAGGGGAAGGAGAAGGGGAGAAGGGGAAGGGGAACAGGAAAAGGGGAAGAAGAAGAAGAAGAAGAAGAAGAAGAAGAAGAAGAAGAAGAGGAGGAGGAGGAGGAGGAGGAGGAAGAGGAGGAGGAGGAGGAGGAGGAGGAGGAGGGGGGGGGGAGGGAAGGGAAGGGAGGGAAGGGAAGGGAAGAAAGAGAAGAAAGACCUGCUGCCAAGCAUCUCAAAUAAAACCAGACCAUGCCAGAGGCAGUGGCCCCACCCCUUCCCAUCCCAAUUUGUCUUCUGCAAGGUGAGGGGGAGAAAACAUGCUUGCUGUUAUGAAAGCACAUUCCUCCAGUUUGUUUUGGGAAUCCUGAAAUUGGCAACUCUUGCUUUUCUCGAGUGCAGUUUUGAGUUUUAAGCACCCUGAAGCUGCGUGUGCUGGUGCAUACGAAUGUGCUUUUACAGGGAUGAAAACACAAAUAACCCACAAUCUGCUUUUCCCUUGGGGCAGCCUGGUCAAAUUUGAACCUGAGGUUUUAUCUAUCUAUUUGAGAUCCUCGUGGAAGGACAGCCAUUAAGACCACAUCAAGUGGGUGUUCAUACAGCCUACUACCCCUGGGGAUACAUGCUGGAUUAAGGUUGUCAGUUCACCAGGAAUUUGUAUUCAUGUCCACUGCCUUUCUUAGAGGGUGCUGGGAAGACCAGAGGAAUGAUACGAGAAGAAUAUUGGGGAGAAACUAACUGUGAACAAGCUAUUGAUGUUCUUUGUAACCCUCUAGUCUCCAACUGGCUGUUUGAAUAUCACAACUAGAAAGGACAAGAGUACAGUCACGGAUGUUCUAUGAGUUGGCUAAGGACAAACCUUCAGAAGAACCAUGCCCACAGUACUCAUGGGAUGUGGUUAUUGCAGCCAUUAGCAUCUCCAUUUUAACCCAGGAAGAUAUUGUUGCCCUGGAAUACCAUGCAUUCUUCUGCCCUGAAACUGAGUUUAUGAUACCAACUAGGUGACUGGCCAUUCCACCGUACUCUCAAGGAGAGUUCAAGUUAAGAGCCCGCCACAAGACUGACUAAGUUCAGAAGCCAGCUCCAGGUGUCUGUGUCCCUAAGUCACCCACCUUUCUGCCUUAAUGUCCACCAACAUGGGAUUUCCCAUGAUCUCACUGGCUUUUCAUCCUGAUCGGCAGAACUCAGGAAAGUGUCUUGCUUGUGAUCACCGUUUUAUUACAAAGGAUCAAAACAAGAUUGGUAUCAAUGAGGUUGCAAGGGAAAGGGCUCCAGACUAUCUAAAAAUCAGACUGUGUGCUGUGUCUUCCCAGUGCUGAGGAGGUAGAAGAAGAAGAACCUCUGUCUAACUAGCCUACUUGGUCAGCAAGAGACUGUUCCUGUCUCUAAAAAAUAAUAAAUAAAAAUAUGAAAUAAUAAUGUGGUGGGUGGCUCCUAAGGAGCAUCAGCAAAGGAAGGCUGUCUUCUGAUUUCCAUAUGCAUACACACAUAUAUGCGAGAUGUUAAAGAAAACUUUAAAAAUAAUAAAAAGAGCACUGUUAUGGGCUGCUCCUUCCAAACAAGGCCACCCUACCAAGCCUCAUUCCCAGAGCCCUGGAGAGGUUUUCAUUAUGGAGACAAAGCCUCAUUCAAUGCUCACCUGUGACACUGACCUCAAUCUCCACCACUCUCCCCUUCAAAGACACCGCACUGUCCGGACUUCCAACCCUCGUCUCACAGGGUAGGAUUUUCUCAUCCUGAAGCCUGCCCUGUCCUCCUCAGCCUCUCAGGAUAGCAGGUCCUUACCUGACACCCCACAGUAGGCCUGAUGAGUUCUGCCCAGAGGUGUUUUGUUUUCCACACAGCAUGUGGCAGUAAGAGGAUUUAUGUUCCCUGGAGACACCUAAACUCACAACAGGAGGAAAAGUGAUUUGUGCAAAGUUCACACAGGGAAGGAAUGGGGGGCGGGUGUGUGUGGGGGUGGAUAUGAGGAUGUGAACCAAGAGAAUCAAAAUUCAUGGCUGCUUCUUCAGAUUAAUCAAAAAUACUCCAGUAAUAAAUCAGACAUGUUGCAAGGAUGAAAGGGGCAGUAGGUGACAUUGGUAUCACCAACACCCAUGUAAAAACUUUGUUGUUUUGUCUACCAAGUUUUACAGUCAACAAUGAAAGGCUCUGCCUUCUGGAAAGUAGUUAUUUAGGAUUCCAUACAUUCAGAAGUUACCCCCAAAAAGUAGCAAGCUUCCAUGCCUGAGCUGACUGCAGGGUGCUGACCAUUUCCAGGCCUUCUGUGCUGUGUUCCCUGUGAACACACGACUUUGUUAUUAGUUGCUUAUCUAACUUUUGAUAUAAUUUUAAGUGUCAUGGGAAUUUCUGAAUUUCUCUAUUUAUAGAAAGCUUUGAAUUUUAUAAAUACUAAUAUGCCUUAUUAUUCACAUCAGAUUUCUCUAUGGCCAUACAAAUUAUGCAAUUAUUACUGGAACUAUUAAAUAAACUUGAAAAUCGAUAAAUAAUGAAUACGGUUGCUAUUUGUGAGUUUAAAACAAGAAAAAUGAAAACGAUCUCACCUCCAGAGAGCUUGGCUGGUCUUUUGCACUCUGCACCUAUUAUUUAAAACUUAUUACUUUGUAAAAAAUACAUAACCAGUUUUUAGAAAGUGAACUGUGAACAGUGACCUGGUUUCAAGUAGUCUGGUCUGAUUAAAAUUUUUCUAAAAUACAAAACAAAAUAAAAAAACUCCAUAAAAUGGGCUUACCAGAAAUGGUAAGAUAUAAUUUUAAUUUCCAUUGUUUAAUUCCAGGGAACUGUGUUUAAAAUAAGAGUCAAAAUGAAGAGAGAGAAGGAGAGAGGGAGGGGAGGAGGGAGGGAGGGAGAGAGAGAGAGAGAGAGAGAGAGAGAGAAAGAGAGAGAGAGAGAAGAGAGAAGAGAGAGGGAGAGAAAGGAGAGAGAGAGAGAAAGGAGAGAGAGGAGAAGGGGGAGAGAGGAAUAGGGAGAGAGAGGGAGAAAGAGAGGAGAGAGGGAGGGAGAGAGGAAGAGAGAGGGGGAGAGAGAAGGAGGGAGAGAGAGAUGAGAGAGAGGAGAGCAACAGAGACAGAGAGACAGAGAGAGGAGAGAGGGGAGAGAGAGGAAGAAAGAGGGAGAGAGGAAGGGAGGGAGGGAAGGGGAGAGAGAGAGAAGAGAGAGAGAGAGAGAGAGAGAGAGAGAGAGAGAGAGAGAGAGAGAGACCUGGGGAAAGUACUGUACUAGUGUGUAUAUAUCACUUAAGCUUUGCAUUUUGCUUUUUUAUUUUCUUUACAGUAAGAUGCCCUGGUGUGUGAUUUCUGGUCCAUGUGAACUACUUCCUUUGUGUCUGUCAUUUUAAAGGCUGCUUUGUGGGGUGGGGCUGCAGGUCAGUGGGAGAAUGACUGACCAGCAUGUGCACAAGGCACUAAUUUUGAACCCCAGCAUCACAUAUCCACAAACACACCCUCCCACUCAGAAAGAAAAAGAAAAGAAAAGUAACCUUGGCUGAUACUGUUAACAUGCAGCUGGAGAAGUCAAAGGCCUUAGGGAGGAACUUCUGCUGUUGUUUAACUAAAUUGAUGUAGCAUCAGACUGACUUCUGAACAUCCAUGUUUAUACCCAUAGACAACUAGUAUUCUCAGCCUUAAUCAGAGAAGCCUUUCUUUGCAGUGAGGAGUGGUGGAUGCAGAGACUCAGAAAUGCUCUAGGUGCUGAGAAUAAAUGGCAGUUGAAUGUUCAUCCCUAAAUAAGAUAUUCAAACCAUGCCCUUUGCAGCUCAGGGAUUAUCUUCCAAGAAGGGGUGGGAAAAGCAUAAGAACCAGAAAAUAGAGAAGCAAUGUGAAAUGCUGUCUUCUGGCAUGGCAGCCAUUGAAAUCUAACUCACAGGAGCUUGGGUGACCUUGCCCUGAGUUUGCACAAGGCAUAUCCUGCCAACAGCCAAUCAUAGAUGAGGGAGAGACUUCCUUAGCCAUCCUUGCUGAGAUAUUAGCUAUGGGUGGAUUCUAGGAAAGGAACAAUCAUUAAAUUCAGUCUCAUACCCACUGGUGAACCCACAAGUCUCCAGUGGACAGUUCCAAAAUCUUGACCACACAGCCCAGGUCAGUGGAUCAGAGAAAAGCAUAAAGACAUGAAUGUGCAGAAGAGAUUUUCAGGGAGGCAGGGAUGACAGACUGGGAGGGAGAGAAGGGUGGAGUGGUGGUAAUCAGAAUUACUAUAUACAUGUACAGAAUUGUUAAACUUAAGUGUAAUAAAAGGGGAAGAAUACUGAAGGUUUUUUAUUAUUAUUAUUGUAUUAUAAAGAAUAUAAGCAAGCACCCAGGCAAGGAGUACAUAGAUUGAUGUACUUCAUCUUUGCACAUUCCAUAGUAUUUAUGGAUCCUCAUAGAGCAUUGGUUUAGUUUUUCACAUCUACUUGUCUGUCUGUCCUGUCCUGUCUGUCUGUCUGUGGCACAUAAGCCAAGGAAGAAAUGUGGAGGUCAGAGAACACCUUAUAGGAGUCAAUUCUUUCCUCAAUAUGUCCUUCUGAGGACUGAGCCAUAGCAAAUUCCUUCACCCACUCAGCCAUCUCACCUCCCUACAUGGCUUUAAAUCAUCAUCCUACAAGAUGAAUCUUCCUCUUAUGUGCCCCAGACUUCAUCACAGAUAAAAAUACUCAACCAUGACUCUGAAACCCUUUAUUUUUCCUAUAUUUUAUCAAGGGAAGUAGGUUUUGCCUGGCAUCCAGCCCUCCCCUAUUGUAAUGAAACACAUAUUUCACAUGUGAUUUGAUAUGUCCUGUCUAAUUUGUUUUCAGGAGAAUGGGUAGCUUGCAGGCAACACUAUAGAUUCCAUGACUGCUAAUGAGCAUGUCAGGUGCUUAUGCAGAUUGCACAGAACCAUCCUGUGAUAAGAUUCACUGAGUAAGGGCCUAUAGUGUGACCCCAGAACAGAAGGACGCUGGUUCCCUGUAGCAUCUGAAUUACAUGGGUGAGGCCAGAUCGUUUUCUUUUUUGUUUGUUUGGGUUACAUACUUCCAUCACAAAUGGACAUCAGAUAAAUACUCUAGCCUUAGAUGCUUCAUUCUAAAAUUACUGAGAAACACACAAAUCAUAUUAUUAGUACUUCUAAAUUAAUACUUUAUUACUUUGCAGAAAAAAAUCUGAGUAAAGUAUAAAGGCAGAUUUAUUGGGGGCGAAUUCACUGACCACACAGUAGAGGGUCAGUGAACUCACCAUGAAGAGGGAAACAGAGGGGAAGGGAAGAGAAAGAGAGAACGCACAAGAGGGGAGAGAGAGAGAGAAUAAAAAUGCAAAAUGUCUGGAUUAUAUAGGGAAAAGCCUCUGGGUGAGAGGAAGCCUAGCCCCUGGGCUGGAAAUUUCAGGGCAGACAGGGUGGGGUUUGUCAGUCAUGCCCUGUAACAGCUAGGACUGAGGGGUACUGGGACAAUCUGGAGUCCAGGUCUACUUUGAUACAUUAAGUAUGCACUUUAGCCUCUAGUUCUGGAUCUGAAACCCAGCAUGGACCACCCUUGGUCAAACUGUUCUUAGGUGAGAAAGGAACAUCUACAUCUCAAAGAAGAUGGGAGGCUUUGCUCUAAGUCCAUCAAAUCAGUUAACAAACAAAACAAAAUUGGAGGGAAGACAGGGGAGAAGAAAGCAAAGAGAUUGAAAGAAAAAGGAAAAGGAGAUGGAAGGGAAAGUGGGAGAGUGGAAAGGGAAGAAGAAAGAAAGAAAAAAGACAGGAAGAAAGGAAGGAAGAAAGAGAGAAAGAAAGAAAGAAAGAAAGAAAGAAAGAAAGAAAGAAAGAAAGAAAGAGAGAGAAGAGAGGGAAGAAAGAAAGAGAGAAAGAAAGAAAGGAAGAAAGAAAGAAAGAAAGAAAGAAAGAAAGAAAGAAAGAAAGAAAGAAAGGAAGGAAGGAAGAAAGAAAGAAAGAAAGGGAAGAGACAGAAGAAAGAAAGAACAAAAGAAAGAAAGGAAGAAAGAAAAAAGAAAGAAGGAAAAAGAAAGGAAGAAAGAAAAGGGGAGAAAGAAAGAAGGAAGGAAGAGAAGAAGAAAGUAUGUACUGUAUGAAGGAGAGAAAAGUGGGAGGUGGUUGCAUGACACCGUUAACCAAUGUCAAGUGAGAGGACCUUCACUGGGAUAAAGCCCAGGGUCUUUUGAUGCUGCUACUUUCUGCCCAGAAGCCACAGGAUGAUUCAUUUUGGAUCGUGAAUUCAUUAUAAAUCGAGUAAUACUCAUUUUCAUCUUCAAGUCUCUUCUACACUUCCAUGGUGGCCACUGCUGAGUAUCUUUUUCCUGACUCAGAACUAUUCGCCAAACAAACUCAGGGAACAUAAAGAGGGAGAAUGAGUCAUUCCUCCUUGGAAACGGGUAGGGAGCCAUUUCUUAAUUGAAUAUCUGUCCCUAACAGAAGAACAGAGAGGGGAAUUCCAAGCUAAGAAAACAGUGUGGUCACAGGGAGUGAGGCUUGCACAUCUAGACUGCAGUAGGAGCCUGCUGAGAGGCAACCUAUAUAAGGCUGAGAACUGGGCUUUGGCAGGGAGAAAUCACUCAUGUUUUGAAGCCAAGAAAAGGGUCCACUCUCCACUGUGCAAUAAAUGACAAAAACUCACGGAGACAAAGACAAAAGGCUGCACUGGCUAGCUUUCCUUCACUAUAAGGAACACAUGACAUCAACUAUAUGAAGCAAGGCCUCAAAUGUGCAUGGUUUUGACACAGAGCCCAUGACUAGUUGGUUCUAUUGUGUUGGGCCUGUGGCCAGGUAGCACCUGGUAGCCAUUGGCCUGUGAUCAAGCAAACCACUUAACUCAUGACAAGAAAACAAAAGAGGAAAACCAGGGCUCUACAAUCCCCUUCAAGGACAUGCUGUUCGGGGUUCCUGGUGGAAGGAAGGGUACCUUGGCUAAUUGGAGCCAAGGAACACCACAAAAUCACGCCAUGUGUCUGGCCUCACAUCAGUUUAUUGAGGCAUAAUACAAAGGAUGUCUCUGAGGAAGGCUGGAAAAGAGUAGAAAAGGAGAAACUGGUUUUUUAUAAAGCGAUAUAGCACAUGAACAUAGGGAGAAUAUGUGAUUUGUGGCAACAGUGGCAAUGCAUGGUGUUUUGGUGAUUAGUGGGCUCUGCCUCUGGGAUACUGAAUAUGAGGUUGGUGGGUACAUGGAAUUUUCCAAAUAGUCUUUGUUUUUAUUUUUUAUAAAUUGUGAAAAAAAAAAGGCAUGACUUGCUAGGCAGGAGUGGGGCACUGUGCCCUUUAGACUGCUUCCUAAUAUCUUGGGUUGUCUACAUCUCUGGGCACUGUUGCUCCUCACUCUCAGGACAUACUCAGUAGUUAUGAGAAUAGUUCUGUGACUACUGGUUGGUGGUCCUGUAGCAAUAAGUGAUUACUUGCUUAAUUAGAGGUUUGUUCUCAAUUUAUCAUUUGAGAAACGUAAAGAAGAAGUUGAUAGAGCAGGCUGCAAUUAUUAAAAGCAAAAUAAAUAAAUAAAUAAAUAAAUAAAUAAAUAAAUAAAUAAAUAAAUAAAUAAAUAAAUAAAUGAGUGGGAUCGGGAAAGGAAGUAUUCACCUCUAUAUUAGGCUCUCAAAGGCCCAGGAAUUGGAGGCACUGAGUUGUUCCUUACAUAGCUGGAGGACUAUUUAAGGUCGUUGGAUUUUGAUUUUUACUAUCCCAAUUGGUUGAUAUAAAUGCAGCAUUCCUCUUGGAGAAGAGACAAGCCCACCAUUUUCAGCUGUAAGAAGAUCUAGUCCCCAUCAGCUUUGGAGUACUAACAGUACCAAGGAGUCAAUUUGUCCUUGAAGUGUAACUGGGAAGAAAACUGAUAAAACCAGGUCGUGGCAAUGGUUAAUCCCACUGUCCUGUUAGUGAUGCCACAGUUAUUCCUGUAGCACCCAGAAGAGGCAAGAUUUGAACUGCCUUUUUAUUAUGUCAGGCAACUAUUGAGUUCACAACCAGACUUACAGGCAGGGUCUCUUCUCUGUGUUUCACCUCCAACUAGGGGAAGAGAAAUGCAUUCAAACUCCUAACUAAUCAGUAGGUAGGAGAGGGUAGACUUGUGUCCUGUGAAGAAUCAAGGUGAUAUAGCACACUGGGGGAUGAGGUAGGGCACCAAGAGUUAAGGUUUUGUUGCAGUCUGAGAAAUUUAAGACACUUACAAAAUGUAUCCCGGACACCAUAAAGCAGUUUGUCAUGACAAAGAGGGUGAUAAGAAGACAUAGGCAGUUGCAGCAACACUGGACUCCAGACUCAGGGCAGUUGGCAAAGUAAGGUUAUUUGAGGAAAUUACAGGAGAAGCUCUAGUGACAGUUAUGAGCUAGUUCCAGGAGAAACACAUAGCCAACAAUUGUUGAAGCAGUAAGGUGGGUACCGUUAAGGGGCCAGGUGGCUGGGGUUAGUCUGAAGCAGGAGACAAAAUGACACGCUUGUAUUAGGAGAGGGAUGUUAAAGAGGUGAUGGCCUUGGAGUAACGUUUAGUCACUUCCUUGUCCUUUCCUAUCUCCAGGGGUUGAGUAAUUUGGAUAUAUUUUUCUCUGAAUUUUAAUCAUGCUCACUAUGUGCCAGGAGUUGAGGAAAUAGAACACCAUUUUCCCACCUGCCAUCCCAUGGUCCAUGAUAUAGAGGUAAAGGGCCCCACUUCGUCAAUCAGAAUAAGGAUGUAUACAUAGCAAAUGAUAUUGACAAGUCCAGUAUGGGCAGGCUCCAUAUCUAUCUGGCCACUCUUUGCUAUAGCCAAAGCUGCUUAUAGAGAAAGCAGGCAAAAAGGUCAAUAAAUGAGGGAGGAAGGGUGAAUAUGGGGGUAAUGGGAAUUUUAUUGGUUCCUUAUGGCCUACUAUGGAACAAUUCCCCAACCCUAUUUGGAGGGACUGAUUGUUAUAAGGGACAGUUUCUGGAACCUCUGUUCUCCCUAAGACAGCUACCCUGGACAGAAGUGGACAAGGGGGGAAGGAGGAAAAGCCUUUGUCUAAUCCAACAGAGUCAAGCACAGCUACUGAGGUGAAGCCUCAUUCUUUUGGAACAAGAGACAUGGUGGUUGAUCUCUGGGUCCUCUGAAACUUAAGGGAAUAGGGUCCUGUUGGGAUUGAUAUGUAGGAAGAGACAUUACCUUGAGGUGGAAGGGAAAGAGGCUUGAGGUAGGAUAGGUGAAUUCAAUGAAGGAGACCCUCAAACUUAGCAGCUGUAGGGGCUUUAAGAAUUGCCUUGAAGGGGCCUUGUCAUUUAGGGGAAGAGGGUGAAAGACAUUGGUUCAGAGGGGUAAGGACCUGGUACCCAGUGUUAACUAGAGAUGGACAAGAGUUGGCAUAUGGCCAAGAUAGGUAGUAGUUAGUAAAGUUUCAUGGGAGGGAGAGGAGAUGAUAGAAUAAGGGGGUGAGGGGGGUGAGUAGGUGAUCAGGGAGAGGGAGAGCGGGGCUUUGGGUGAAAACCCUGGAACCUGAACUGGUCUUCUUAUGCAUGAGCUUAAAUUGAGAGAUCAAAAGAGGUCACUUGGGGAAAGCCAGUAGCCUGAGAAUGGCCAGUGGAAGGAGUGUCACCCAAUCAUGAUAAAGUUCUUGUGACAGUUUGGUAAAGGUGUUUUUUGUUUGUUUGUUUGUUUGUUUGUUUGUAUCUUGUUUUUGUUUUAAGGAGAAUUUAGUUCAUUCUAUUUUUCCUGAGCACUGGGGAUAGUAUGGGAAAUGGGACUGCUGAGGGAUGUUGAGGGCUUUGGAUAGGGUUUGAAAAAUCUAGGAGUUGAAUUCAGGGCCAUUGUCUGACUGGAGAGAGGCAGGGAUUCCAAAACAGAAAAUGAUCUCCCAGAGUAGGAGGUUGGAGACUGCCCGAGCCCUGUUAUUGGUUAUGGAGAAUACCUCCACCCAUCCUGAGAAGGUGUCCACCAAGACCAAGAGGAACCUAAUGGUUUAGGCUGUAGGCUUGUGAGUAAAAUCAAGUUGCUAAUUGGUUCUAGGUAGAGAGCCUCUAAUUUACUGAGUAAGAAAGGGGAGCUGUAAUAACUGGAGUGGAGGAUCUAGCAUCUGACAGAUUUUACAAGGUCAGUAAUAUCUCUUAAGAAAUGGAAACCCUCAAGGAUGGGCUACAGGUAAGGCAAGUCCUGGCUAUUAAGAUGGAAGAGGUGGUGUAGAUAGGAAAACACUUGUUGAGUCUCAGGGGGUAAUAGUAAGGACAUGGGUUGUAACACAAGGAUGUCCUGCAGUGGACAAGAGUGCUCUGGACCUCCAAGGGCCAUGACUCUAGCUGCUUCAUCUGCUAGGUUAAUUCCCUUAGAGAUGAUAGAAUCGUUGGUCUGGUGGAACCAGCAAUGGACAUUUCCCAUAGCUGAAGGGAGAUAAGAGCGGUUUAGUAGGCCAUGAUUUGAUCCUCCCUGUGUUGUAAGUAGCCUACACUCUUUCCCAAUGGCAGUAUAUUUGAGUCUGUAUAGAAUCUUAGGGAUUGUCCUUUUACCAAUUGGAAGCCACUGGUGAAAACUAUUAGGUGAGCCUUUUAGUGGUGUAGACAUGGAGGGCCUGUGCCUCAGCUACCUUGGUAUCUGACACUAUGGUGUAUCCUGCUUUUGGGGCCCUCAUGUAAAAAAUCUGCCAUCUGUGUAGUAGGUAUAGAUGGCUUUAGGUGAUGUGUCCUCCUGUACGUGUAAAGGAUGAGUCACUAGUUCCUCUAAGGUUUCAAGGCAAGAAUGAGUUGGGGAGAGGUCUGUGUUUGUUGAAGGAAGAUUUAAAAUGUUGAAGGGUGGGCAUGAUUGGAAACUAAGUGCGACAGCAUCUACUAAUCUGGAGAGAGAGAGAGAACCUGUGGAGGAGGUAGAGUAUGUAAGUCUUUAUAUGUUUAGAAGUGGGACAGAUUGUGGGAGGCAAAGAUGACCCAAAAUUUAGAUUUUUAGAUUCACAAAACAAGGAGCUUUACACCUGCCAAAGCACAUAGGCAGAUCAGGGUGCCCAUCUCUGGGUAGUAAGGUCUAAUUUUUUUGGUAGGUAUAUCAUAGUGCAAAGGAAGUUCUCCAUUGGUGGCCUAGGAUGCUGAGGGCAUAUCGUUUUCUCUUUUAUAGAGGGAGAAGGGAAGGGUUAGAUUUAGAAGGGAUAGGGCUUAGGUUAGAAGGGACUAAUGGAGCUUCUGAAAGGGCUAGGUCAUCAAUGGGUGUGGGAAGGGUUCAUGUGAAGGAUUAGGGCUGUUUCAUAUAGGGGGCAGGCAAGUGAGGGGAGGAUUUCCAGGAACAUAAAAGGCAGCUAGCUAUUCCUAGGAAUGAUAAAAUCUCCUUUUUGGUAGAGGGGAUUUUGAGGGACUGUAUUUGAUGUUUUUCUAUCUAAGGUAAUGGCUCCAUGGGCUGGGGUAAUAAGUCCCAAUGAGGUGCGCUGAGGGGUGAAGAACUAGACCUUAUAUGGUGAGAUUCUGUAGCCCUAGCUGGGCAAGAAAUUUAGAAGAGCUGAAGCUAAUUUGUAGGAACAGACUGCAGAGGAGAAGGUCAUCUACAUACCUUCAUACAAAUUUAGAUUUUGGGAGCGACAAAGAGAGUAUAUCAGAGGUCAGGGCUGGGCCAAAAUAAGUGCGGGUUGUCCCAGAACCUCUUGGGUAGGACAGUCCAAUUAGUUGGGUAGAGAAGUGGGUGUCAGGGUUAGUUCAGGUGAAAACAAAGAUGUUUUGUGACUGGGUGUCAAGGGGGAUAAAGAUGAAGGUCUUGAAGUCUGAGAAAUGGGAAGUUCCUGCAGGGGGAGUCAGGGAGGGAGAUAGUGGAAAGCAACGUGGAAGGGUUAGCUAUGACAGGGUAGAGAGGGACCACUGCAGGAUUGAUGAACCAGAAGUCUUGAACCAGGCAAUAGGUAGAUAGGUAGGUCCUGUGGGGCUUUUUAACUGCAAGUAUAGGAGUGUUAAAUGAGAAAAGAGGCAGGGUGAAACGGUAUUUUUCUUAAGAGGUCAGAGAUGAUAGGCUUAGGUCCCUCAACGCUCUGGAUCAAGAUUGGGUACUUGGUUUGGGUGAUGUGUCAGGUCAGAUCUUGUAAUUGGAUAAUGACAGGGGUAUAAUGCUGGCAAUAGAAAGGUUUUGAGCAUCCCAGACUGGGGUGGGGUGGGGUGCGGGGGUACAGGGUCUACUUGAGAGGCUGGCAAAGGAAAUAGCCUUUUGGAACAAGUAUAUUGGCUGGCUAAGGAAAAGAGAAGAGGAACUGCUGCCGAACUUGGGGUCAGGCAAAUGAGGAGAUGAAAGGUAUAGAGGCUCCCACUUUGGCUUGGUCAUCACUUUCUAAUAAACAGACAGGACUGGUUGGAACCAUCAGGAGAGAAUGGGUUAGAGAAACACCCAUGGAAAUGCAAUGAGUGAUGGGGUCUGGGAAGGUUUGUAAGACUGUAACCCUACCCUGACAAUAGGGAAACAAAGAGGGAUGGGUCCCCAAAACUCCAUCAGGACUGAAUAUGUGACCCAAAUGUACAGGAACAAAGAGAUGUCUUGGGGGUUGUCUGCUGCUGUGUAUACAAAUGGCAAAUUCUGUUUUCCUCUAGACAAGUGAAUUCUCACAUACACCAGCCUUUGUUAUGUUAACCUUGAUCCCCAAUUUAAAACAAUUGAUUAAAUAAAAGUAGCUAUGGACAAGUAUUAUGGAGAAUAGAGGUAGAAGCUUUGGAAACCAGGUUGAACAUCACAGAUAGGGACUAUGAGGGGAAGGAGGAGGAAGGAGGAGGAGGAAGAAGAAGAGGAGGAUAAGAGGAGAAGCAGGAAAAAGGAGAAAGAAGAGAGAACAGGAGGUCACCAUUAGAUGUGAUGGGCAGGAGCAUGUGGCCUAGUGAAACGCCCCCAAGGAGAGACUGAUGGAGCAGAAAUAGCCCAGGAAUGACUCAAGGAACAAAUACUUGGGGAGCACAUCUGGGGAAUUAAGCAUCUAUUGUAUAGAAAAAUAGAUUAGGGGUAAUUUGCCCAGUAAUUGUACUAAAGCUGAUUAAAAUAAUCCACAGGAUUCUGCCUCAAUUAUUGGGGGGAGGGACUAACUGGGUCAUAAUAACUAAUAAAGUCACUAAAUAACUUUUUAAAAUACCAUUUAUAGAGAUGGGUUGCCCUGAUGCCACAAUGACUACCUGGGACUGUAUGUCAAAGAUGGCAGUGGUUGGGCCAAAGGAGCCGGGCCCCUUCAGUCGUGCAUGGCCAGACCAAAGAGAUUAGUUGGAGGGUGAUCCGGGUCUGAUGUCCCCAUGCCAUGAGGGACAUGGUGAGUCCAGUGUCCCUCUUGAUGGCACUUUUGGACAUGGCCAGGGUGGCCUGUGGGUAUUAUGGCAGGCCCAGGCCCAGUGAACUCUCCUGGCCACGUUGAAGCAGGAACUCAGCCUUAGGAGGCAAGGGAACCUGGGGAGUCAUCAAAGCUGGUUGGAUGGCCUUCGUCAGCUUUUGGUAUUUCUAUUUAUGGGAUUCUUAAAAUCUCUCCCAUGAUGCACCUUAAUGGCCAGUGCUGUGACUUUUGCCUGUGGGGUUAGUGGUCCUCUCUCCAAAUGGCUAAGUUUGGCCCUAAUAUCAGGAAAACCCUGGGAAAAGAAAUAGAUCAUGAGGGGUUGUUUACCCCCUGAGUUUGGGGGUCUUCAUUGGUAAGAUGGCCUUUGUGAGGUAUUCUAGGAAUUGAGAUGGGUUUUCAUGUUUGUCUUGGUUGACCUCUUAGAGUUUCUCAUAGGUUACUAGCUUAAGGAAAGCCUUACAAAGACUGGCCAGGAGACAAGUUGAAAACUGAUCUCUAGCUAGAAUGCCUCCUGGGUAUUUUUGUUCUAUAGGGAUUGCAUUUGUGGGUGUGUGCCCUGGCCUCAGCCCUGGCCAGGCGUGUGCUGUGUUCCUUUGGUGGACUUCAUCUGUAUGGGCUUUAGCUUGCUCCUGAACUUGUCUGAACUCUUCAGGAAGUAGAGUGUUCAUUAAAAUCGUACAUGUAAAAUGAAAGUGAGAAUAUAUACUGGAAUUCUUUAAUGAUAAUAGAGGAGUUAGAGGCAUAAGACCACAUCUUUUAUUCUGUUUAAAAGAGUCAACUUAAUGAAAAGGGGGCAUGUACUCUGACCAUGCCGACCAUGCCAACCACCCUGGCAACCUCCAGUAAAGGGAGAACUGGGGCCAGGUUAGGCUGGGUGCAGGGCAGGUUGAGGGUCCCACAGUGAAACAGGGGUGAGUACUAGGGUGGGGGAGUAUGGUUGGGGGGGACUGAAAGCUGCUGAGAGAGUGCAACUGGGUGCCAUGGUGAGAUGGUUAGAGCUGCUUGUUGCUGGAGAGAAGGAAGAGACAUAAAGAUCUGGAGAAGGAGCUAUUGGUACAAACCAAUAAGGUGUGUUGGCAGGGGGACUCAGCAGAGUAGUAAGAGUAGUGGAGGUGUCCUGUUCUUCAGGUUUCAAGGUUAGAAAAAACUGAGUAGAAGAACAGGGAGAGCAGAGGGAAGGCUUGGAGCAAAGCUAAGAGAAAAGAUUGGAUGGAGGGAACCUCCCUCCUUUUCCUCAGUUGCUGGAAGUAGUUCUAGAAGUUUCUAACAAUGUCAGGAUAUAGGGUGCCAGUAGGCAGCCAUUUUGAUUGGUUAUCUAAGGGGUAAUGAGACCAGUUUUGACCACAAAGACAGAUCAGUUUGGAGGCCCUUAAGUUAGGUGCUAGGUGGAGCAGUUAAAGGUUCUCCAAGGAGGAGCCCAGAGGUACAGAUGAUGAUGCAGUUCCUAUGGAUGAGGUCGAUGGAGAGGUCCAAGGCCUAAAGUUCAAGGCAUCCAUAGAAGCAAAGCGGGCAGAGUGAAGAAGGCACAAGCUUGUAAGGCGGGUCCUUACCUCACUGUACUGGGGCCAGAGGCUUAUCCUGGCUAAGACCAAAGUCACUACAUUGGAUUUCUGGAAGCAUAUAUGCCCACUAAAGUGAAAACUUGCCAAUUGCCACUGUUGGAUGGGGUCUCCAGUGAACUGGAAUGUGAGUCUGUUGCAGAGAUAAGAGCUAGGGUCCCUGUAUAGUUUAGUCCCCUGAGAGUGAAUCAUGCAGGCUCCAGGAUAUUCUACUGAGUCUCAGUGCUAGUGUUAGGGUUUCAAGGAAGGUGGAAGGAAGGGUAUCUUGUGGAUUGGAGCCAAAGAACACCACCACAAAGUCACACCUUGCAACAGGCCUCACAGGAGAGGUUUAUUGGGGGCUUAUAUAGAGGCGGCCUUUGAGUGAGAAUGGAAGGGAAAAAGAGAGUAAGCAGUGAAGGCACUGGCCUUUUUAAAAAGGGGUAUAGCAUAUGCACAUAGAGACAACACACAGUUUGUGGUGACAGUGGAAAUGUGCGGCACUUUGAUGGCUGGUGAUGACCUGCCUGUUUAUCCCUGAGUUACUGGGUGUGAGUUUGGGGCUGGGGUUUUCUAACAACAUGCCUUCUCCCCCACCUCAGUGACCUAAAGAUUUCCCAUUAUGGCCUCCUUGCGGCACCUCUUUUGAGAAGCAAGGAUUUUAACACAUGGAUCUUUGGGAGGGAUGUUCAUGCUCUUAAGUAUAUCAAGGCAUGUUUUAAACAUGUAUAUGAAUUAUGGGGUCACCUGAGAUGGUUGUACGAGCAUGCACAUGUCCUGUGUAUCCACAUUCAACUCAGUGUCUUGGUACUCCUCUCUGAGGUUGUGAACAAGGAACAUAUGACAUCUGCUCUCACAAAUGUCACUUGAACAUGUCUCACCCCUCUGUCCCAUGUGUAAGACUAUGGUCAUGAACUUGGCCAAUAACCUCAGUCUUAACUAUGUUCCAGUUUCAUCCUGUGACUGUGACAAAUCCAUGACCAAAAGAAACUUUAAGGGAAGAAAGGGUUUACUUCAGCUUGUGGUUACAGUCUGUCAUAGAGGAAAGUCGGGGCAGGAUUAAAGCAAGAGCUUGAAGGCAGGCCUGGUUGCUAGCUCAUGUGGAGGCACUCACUGUCAAAGAGGUACAGCAGGAAGCACAGAGGAUAGUGCGUGCUAGCUAGCUCCCAAAUAACUUAUCCCCAAAUAGCUUUCUUAUCUACCCAUGUCGACCUGCCCAGGGAAUGGUGCUGCCCACAGAGGGCUGGGUCCUCCUAUAAUCAUUAGUGAUCAAGACAUCCUCCACAGACAUGUACACAGGCCAGUCUGAUCUGAGCAGUCCCACGGUUGAGACUCCCUUUCCAGGAGAGUUUAUGCUGUGCCAAACUCACAGUCAAAGCUAACAAAGAGAAGUUCUAUUAGGAAAGAGCUAUUAACAAGCACUUACGUAAGUAAACAAUCUCAGGGAGAAACAAGUAUAAUGAGGAAAAUCAGGGACCAGGUUUCCUAAGUGACAGACUCUCAUUGCACUGUAUUCACAUGACCAAUCCACUGUCCCAACAGCAAAGGUAGUGUGUGCCUGGUGUCCAGCAUUGUACUUACUUAAAGCACAUCCCUCCUCUAUAAGCAUUCAAAGCAGGCAUCAUCAACCAGUUUCAAGUUGCUUCUGAGGGGCAUUUGGGAAAAGCAAAUUAGACAUUUUAGUGGGCACAGCAGAAAGGGGCUAGGGUUGGGGAUAGAGUCAGAUACUUUCUAAUGUCCAGGGCAUUAUAUGACAUUUCCACACAACCAGACAUAAACCUGCCUAGAUGCUAGCAGAGAUGUGAAGAGGCUCUGCUAUGAAGGGGCAUGUUCAUGCAGUUGCUAGUGUGUAUACUCACAAAAGAAGAAUCAAGGUAGCUUUUGUGGCCUGGCCCACCUGCCCACCAGGGAUAAGAGAGGACAGAAGUGUGAAGCCAGAAGGGUUGGAGAUGAUGCUCAAGCCCAUAAUUCCAACAGUCACAGACCAGUUAUGAAAAACUGAAUGAAAAAUAUGUGAGGUCUAUUUUGAGAGCUGCCUUAAAGAAUCUGGAGUCUGCACUUUGUGACAAAUAAGAGAUGUACAGAAGAUGGAUGCCGUGUGGAGGUAGAUGCUGUGGAGAACCUCGGUUGCACAGGCAACUUGGAAUUUGUUUCCUUGGUUUUGUCGCCAUAUCGCAUUGUUAACACCUGCCAGCGUUGUCAUCCUAAGCUGCCAUGCUGUUUCUGAGAUGAGCCACAACAGGUGUGCCAAAUAUCGGGCCAUUAGCAAGUGGUAAUUCGCAGGCAUGAAUAUUUAUCAUCUUGUAAAGAGGCAACAAAAGCCGUGUGUCUACCAUUGAAAACAUUGUGCAGCAACGUCCUCCAACCAAAAUUGUUUGAGCUUCUCAUUUAUGUGAGGAGAAGAAUGGAUCCUCUGUAAUUUCCCAUUAAGUCAAUUUAUUUUCUCCGCCGUCUCUCCAUAAAAACACAAGCCUGAAAACCUCUUGAUUUUUAUUGAGCAGGUAAGGUUACCUCGUGGUGUAUAGAGCUGACUAUACUGGGUAUGCAAAUAUCCACCCUCACGCUUCCUAUGACACCAGUCUCAUCCCCACAAGACGCUCCCAGGAGAUGGACAGACUUGCUAUGACCGCUCAGUCUUCAUUCGCUCCUCUUUUCCUUCAUUAUUGCUGUCUCACUCAUUUCCUUCCUCCACUUCUUUGUUCAAAAAAAUAUUCUGAACAAAAUGAAAGUGAAGAAAAGAGGAGAAACCAUAGAGCUAGAUAUGAAAGAAUUGUGCACAGACACCUUUUCAUAUGGUGCCUGUAAAUUCAACACACUAAUUGGAAAUUCUAAAGAGUAUGUGCUUUGCUUUUUGUCCCCUUUCUUUUUGUUGUUAUAGAGGGAAUGCAGAGCCAGGCACAAGCUGAGCAAGUGCUCUGCUACUGAGAUGAAUACCCAUUCAGUUCCUGGCUUUAAGGAUUUUGAGGCAGUGUCUCUAUGCACCAGGCUGGGCUUGACUUCUCUGGUCCAGACUGGCAUUGACCAUUCAGUCUUCCUGCUUCAACCUUCUGAGUGCUGGAGUGGGAGGUAUAUAGGUAUAUGCCAUCAUGCCUUGUGACUGUGUGCUCACAAAGAUCUCUCUCUGUCUCUGUCUCUCUUCAUCCCUCUCUUUUCCUACUCUCUUUACCUCUUUUUAUAUGUGUGCAUGUGUGUAUAUAUGUGUAUGCAUGUAUAUUAUAUAUAUGUGAGCAUACAUAUGAUAGAUGAUACAGUUAUAAAUGAUGAACCAUCCAUUUGCCUUCAUUACUGCUAUGUGAGAACCUCUUAGCAAUGUGACUUGUCCCUUUUGUAGCAUCUCACACAUAAACACACUCUUCUUAUGACAAUGUAUGCCAUAAAUAAAUAAAUAAAUAAAUAAAUAAAUAUGUGUGUUAUGCUUAUAUGUGAAAUUAACAAGCAGCAAUGCUAAUAGUGCAUUAUUUCCCUUAUUUUUGAGUAUUGUCAUGUCUGAGGAAGCCAUGACAGAUUCUGGGUAAGUGUGGUUGGCACUGGUCCUGGACCACCGUCACUAAUAGCGCAGCCCUGUGCUAGUGCUAUGCUGCUCGCUCAUGCCAGCACUUCCCUCGUGUUUCUGCUGAUCAUUCUUUUUUCUCAGUUCAAAGUCAAGGUUGAAUUUCCCCUUUCUGCAUUUGGCCUCUACUGAUUUUAUCUUUAGACUUGAUGAGACAUAAAUUUCAGUUAGUCAAAUAUAAAGUUAUUUGAGUGUUGUAAUGAACGACCCCUUAUACAUGUAUGUGCGCACACACACACACACACACACACACACACACACACACACACACACUCACACGGCAUGCCACCCCUUCCCACUCCCAGCAGAGCGAACACUGGAGACUUAGGGAAGCAUUUUAUUUUAAAAUCUUGCAAAAAUCUGUUUUCAGCCCAGAAUAGUGAGCAUGCUGAUUGAGCACAGCGCAGUUUUCCUAACCUUGAACUCAAAUCCCCAACCCCCUCCAUUCUGAGUAAUCAGAAGGGCUUGUAAGACUCCGGGAGCCUUAGCUUACCAGCUUACGGGGCAGAGGGGGUGGGAUACCCUGAGUGAACCACAUGGAGCCUGGAUCAAUGCAAAAAGCAAGAGGAAUUUGUUCCAGUGCACUGGGGUGGUGCGAGACCGGAAGGAGAGGCAGCGACCACCAGCACCAGUUCGGUGAGUUUUUAUAUGGUUUCCAGGGGCAGAACAGAGAGCAUCAGCAACUAGGCACAAUAUGAUUGGUGGGGGGGGGGCACAUCAGGAUGAAAGAAUGAGAGUGGAAAUUAGCUUGUGGCUUGAAGAAUGGCCCUUAUUACACACAAUGCCACUGACAGGCGCUGGGCAGCACAUCCCUCCCCUAGCAUAUACGGGCUUGCUGAACGGGUGCUCCCACCAUGUGAUGCUAAUUAUUUCAGGGAUGUUCACUUGCAAAAUUGACAGCCUUUGAACCAAUAGCACAGUUCACAUUAGAGAAAUGAUUCAGAGAGGGCAGAAAGGGAGAAUUUUGGAGAGGGAGUUUGAGAGAGAACAGGAGGAGAAAGGAGAAAGAGAGAACAGAAACAGAAAGGAGGAAAAAAAGAACGGCAUGGAGGGAAGGUGAGGCAGAGCUCAAAGGGGAAAAGUAAGGAAGGUGGGCAAAGGAAAGGAAAUGGACUUGAGAGAGACAAAGAAAAGAAGCUGCGGGGUGGGUAGGGAGAGAGGUGAGGCAAGGCUGAGAAACUGAAGGGACCUUGCAUGUCACUCUGUGAGUGCUUUAUAUCCACAAUGAAGCUGAGCUAAUAAAUAAAAGCUGGACCUCCACUCAAGGGCACUGAGAUUGAACCUGGAAGGCAGACAGCUGCAGGACCCUAUGGUCCAAGGGAUUUAUCUGGGAUGGCAAGAUGUCUCUUCUCACUGUGAACUUGAGAUUCCUUAAUGGCUAAUUGCAGAGCAUAAGAAACUGUAAUUUAUACUCCACUUUGGAAGUCAAUCAAAGAAAAGAUGCCAGCAAUCUGGUGAUGGAUGAGCUCUGGGGUGCACAGGGUGGGCCAGAGGAGAGCUGGUGACUGUGGGGACAGAUGCCCAGGCACACAGGUGUGGGGGUGUGGCUUAGACUGCAGCUGCUACUGUGAGACUUGAGGACAGGCUGCACAUCUCUCUUUCCCUCUAGUGCUGGCCUCUGUGGCAAAAGAGUCUCAAGUCCUUCGUUGGCUGUAGAUUUGAUUUUUAAAAGGGAACAAUCUGACAAAUGGUACUGAAUUUGAACAGCGUUGUUCAUGAAUACCCAAAUGUUUUUUCAUCUGAGGACCACACGAUCUUAUUCAGGGAAGUUGGACUUUUAAGAUGGUUAUGAAUUUUGAAUCAGAGUUUUGUUGUCAGGGGAAUGCUUCUUAGAAGGAAGGAAAUGUACUUUCUAACAAGAUUUUCAGCAAACGUUGGCACAUUCAUUAUGGCCACAGGCAUGGAGGUGGCUCAAAUACAUUUUGCAUAAUGUGGAAAUAAUAUUCGCAUUUGUGUUCAUUCCAAGUCACUCAGAGCCGCCGUGAAAGCCACCAGCACAGAAGAGAACAUGGGUGCUUUUGAUAACAAAAUGUUGGUUGGGGGCAACUGUAUGAAUCUUACCAGUUAUCACAAAGGGCCUUCUCCUUAUGUCUUUCAAUAUUUAGGACUAUCUAGAGUAGCAAGCUCUUUACCUAGUGAGCUAUCCCAGGUAGUCCCCCGUAGCUCAGACUUUUGCUGUAUAAUCCAAGUCAGAUAUUAUGUGUGUCAACACCUGGGUUUUCCUUCUGAGUCUCUCCCUUCAGUACUAAGCUUUCUUUGCUCUACACACACCUGUUCAUGGUAGAUGCCCAACUCACAUUCAGUAUUUCCUGCUGAAGGCUGCAGAAAGUCUGACCAUGAAUCUCAUUUUUCACACUAGAAUUGUGUCUGUUUGCCUUGGGUAUGGGAAGAUAAACAGAGCAGGGAAAGGCAAAGGAACAGAAUGAGAGUUGGCAGGGAGGUGGCAGGGGAGGCUGGUCUGUCCAGGAAUUCUAAUAUGAUAUGACUGAUCUGAGACCAUGGAGUAGGUGGGUAGCAAGGUCUGGUAGCAAAGCAAAAAGUCAAAAUUAGAACUGUACUUAAGAGGAUGAGGCAAUGACUCUCUAGUAACCACAGCAUGGGGAGGCAGAGGCAGGAGGAUGGCGUGCUCAGGUGAGCUUCAUCUACACAGUACAUUCGGGGCCUCAAACAUGAUUCUCUGUCACAACAGACAUAGACCAGCUAUGCUGAAGUAUACAUGGCGUGAAAACAGAUAGGGGACUGUUUGGUAGGGGAGGGGAAUAAUGAGACAGAGUUCAAAGAAGCUAGUAGGGGUGAAUAUGAACAAGACACAGUGGUGUACAUGCUUGAAAAUGUCAUAAUGAAGCAUGUUAUUUUGUCAGCUAACUAAAAAUUAUAUGUCUAUGGAGAUGAGGAUCAAGACAGAGAGAGACUGAGACAUAGAUAUAGAUGGGGAGGAAGGCUAUAUACGAAUCAUUAUAAUAUAUCCAGGACACUGAACUACGGAGAACAAAAAUGAAAUAUGACUUUUGGUUUAACAGUGCUGACACUGAGAAACUGUGACAUAUAUUUUAAAUGAUAUGUGUGUGUGUGAGAGAGAGAGAGAGACAGAGAGAGAGAGAGAGAGAGACAGAGAGAGAGAGAGAGACAGAGAGAGAGACAGAGAGAGAGAGACAGACAGAGAGAGGUGGAGAAGAGGGGGGAAGGGAGGAAGAGAGACAGCCAGUUUUAAAUAUUAACCAGUUACAAUGUAGCCUCACCUAGAGAGAGUCUCAAAUGAAGAGUUCUCUACAUGAGGUUGACCUAUGGUCAUGUCUGUGGGGAUUGUCUUGAUUGCUUUCAUUGAAAUGAGGUGGAAAGACCCACCUGGAAUGGCAAUUUGUGGGCUGUCCCCUGAAUUGCUUAAGUCUGAAGGCAGCAACUAAGCAUAAGAAGCACAAAGGUAAUAUGGGUGCGGGUGUUUCUCUCUGCUCUUGGGGCCGUGGGAAGUGCUCAGCUGUUUUGAGCUCUUGUUCACUGCAGGUCUGGACUGUCACCUGGAAUUAUGAGCCAAGUCAAUGCUUUCCUCCCUUAUGUUCUAUUGAAGCCACGGAAGUGAAACUAUCGCAGGUACAUGGUACAUGGAAUCAUUUUUAGUAUGCUACAAAUUUGUUUGAGGACAAUUAUUUUUCUGCAUCUUAG